GGUGUUGUAGCUCAGUGGUAGAGCGCACUUGCCUCGCAUGCAUGAGGCCCUGGGUUUGAUCCUCAUCACCA
rnacentral:tRNA from 1 species